UACGUAGGGGGCAAGCGUUGUCCGGAUUUAUUGGGCGUAAAGAGCGUGUAGGCGGCUUUACAGGUCCGUUGUGAAAACUCGAGGCUCAACCUCGAGACGCCGGUGGAAACCGUAAAGCUAGAGUCCGGAAGAGGCGAGUGGAAUUCCUGGUGUAGCGGUGGAAUGCGCAGAUAUCAGGAGGAACACCAACGGCGAAGGCAGCUCGCUGGGACGGUACUGACGCUGAGGCGCGAAAGCGUGGGGAGCAAACAGG
rnacentral:rRNA from 1 species